UUCUGUUUGAUUAGGUAAGAUUUAAGA
rnacentral:piRNA from 1 species